rnacentral:rRNA from 1 species
GAUCCUGGCUCAGGAUGAACGCUAGCGACAGGCUUAACACAUGCAAGUCGAGGGGCAGCGGGGUAGGAAGCUUGCUUUCUGCCGCCGGCGACCGGCGCACGGGUGAGUAACACGUAUGCAACCUGGCCGUGACAUAUGGAUAACCGGGAGAAAUCCCGCCUAAUACAACAUAAUGCCGGGAGGGGACAUCCCCUGCCGGCCAAAGGGGGCGACCCCGGUCAUGGAUGGGCAUGCGGCGCAUUAGGUAGUUGGUGGGGCAACGGCCCACCAAGCCGACGGUGCGUAGGGGUUCUGAGAGGAAGGUCCCCCACAUUGGAACUGAGACACGGUCCAAACUCCUACGGGAGGCAGCAGUGAGGAAUAUUGGUCAAUGGCCGGAAGGCUGAACCAGCCAAGUCGCGUGAGGGAAUAAGGCCCUACGGGUCGUAAACCUCUUUUGCCAGGGAGCUAUNCCGUUCCACGUGUGGACGGAANGAGAGUACCUGGAGAAAAAGCAUCGGCUAACUCCGUNCCAGCANGCCGCGGUAAUACGGAGGAUGCGAGCGUUAUCCGGAUUUAUUGGGUUUAAAGGGUGCGUAGGCGGCCUGCCAAGUCGGCGGUAAAAUUGCGGGGCUCAACCCCCGUACAGCCGUUGAAACUGCCGGGCUCGAGUGGGCGAGAAGUAUGCGGAAAUGCGUGGUGUAGCGGUGAAAUGCAUAGAUAUCACGCAGAACCCCGAUUGCGAAGGCAGCAUACCGGCGCCCGACUGACGCUGAGGCACGAAAGUGCGGGGAUCAAACAGGAUUAGAUACCCUGGUAGUCCGCACAGUAAACGAUGAAUGCUAGCUGUCCGGGGGGAUUGACCCCUGGGUGGCACAGCGAAAGCGUUNAGCAUUCCACCUGGGGAGUACGCCGGCAACGGUGAAACUCAAAGGAAUUUGACGGGGGCCCNCACAAGCGGAGGAACNUNUGGUUUAAUUCGAUGAUACGCGANGAACCNUUACCCGGGNCUCAAACGCCGAAGGGACAUUCCCCNAAAGGGGAUUGGCCAGCNAUGGUCNUCGGCNAGNUGCUGCAUGGUUGUCGUCAGCUCGUGCCGUGAGGUGUCGGCUUAAGUGCCAUAACGAGCGCAACCCCCACCGACAGUUGCUAACUGGUCAAGCAGAGGACUCUGUCGGGACUGCCGGCGCAAGCUGCGAGGAAGGCGGGGAUGACGUCAAAUCAGCACGGCCCUUACGUCCGGGGCGACACACGUGUUACAAUGGCAGGUACAGCGGGAUGCCAUGGGGCGACCCAGAGCGGAACCCGAAAACCUGUCUCAGUUCGGAUUGGAGUCUGCAACCCGACUCCAUGAAGCUGGGUUCGCUAGUAAUCGCGCAUCAGCCACGGCGCGGUGAAUACGUUCCCGGGCCUUGUACACACCGCCCGUCAAGCCAUGGGAGCCGGGGGUGCCUGAAGGCCGUGACCGCGAGGACNCGAACCUAGGGUAAAANCUGGUGANCUGGGGCUAAGUCGUAACAAGGUAACC